rnacentral:miRNA from 1 species
GGCUCUUGUCAAAAUGCAGAUUCUGACUCAGCGGGUCUAGGGUAGAGCCUCAGACCCUGCAUUUUUAACAAGUUC